UAGGGAAUCUUCCACAAUGGACGCAAGUCUGAUGGAGCAACGCCGCGUGAGUGAAGAAGGUUUUCGUAUCGUAAAGCUCUGUUGUUGGUGAAGAAGGAUAGAGGUAGUAACUGGCCUUUAUUUGACGGUAAUCAACCAGAAAGUCACGGCUAACUACGUGCCAGCAGCCGCGGUAAUACGUAGGUGGCAAGCGUUGUCCGGAUUUAUUGGGCGUAAAGCGAGCGCAGGCGGAAGAAUAAGUCUGAUGUGAAAGCCCUCGGCUUAACCGAGGAACUGCAUCGGAAACUGUUUUUCUUGAGUGCAGAGGAGGAGAGUGGAAUUCCAUGUGUAGCGGUGGAAUGCGUAGAUAUAUGGAAGAACACCAGUGGCGAAGGCGACUCUCUGGUCUGCAACUGACGCUGAGGCUCGAAAGCAUGGGUAGCGAACAGG
rnacentral:rRNA from 1 species